GACCAGUGGCCGAGUUGGUAUGGCCUAGCGAUAUAGCGACACAGCGAUAUAGCGACAUAGCGAUACAGCGUUAGUAUUAAUACUCUAUAUCUAUACUCUAUAUCGUUAGGCGCGGGGGUUCGAUUCCCUCGUUGGCCA